CUUUGUGUCAGUAACAUGUCUUGAGGAGCUAAUCAGAGUUGCUGUGGGUCAUGGAAUUUGUCAGGAGGGCAACAUACAGGUGUAUUUAAUGGAUGAGUUAUCACUUCGCUCUAUGGUUGCUGGUGCUGAGAAAUGCCUCGAUGACAUUUUCAUUGUUAAAAAUGGACUAUGGAAACAAGAUCAGUCAACAUGUGUGAGUGCACCUUCACC